rnacentral:tRNA from 1 species
AACACAGUUGGCAGUAUGUCCCGACUUGCGAGUCGGGAAGGCCGCAGGUUCGAGUCCUGCC